GACGAACGCUGGCGGCGUGCCUAAUACAUGCAAGUAGAACGCUGAAGAGAGGAGCUUGCUCUUCUUGGAUGAGUUGCGAACGGGUGAGUAACGCGUAGGUAACCUGCCUUGUAGCGGGGGAUAACUAUGGGAAACGAUAGCUAAUACCGCAUAACAAUGGAUGACCCAUGUCAUUUAUUUGAAAGGGGCAAAUGCUCCACUACAAGAUGGACCUGCGUUGUAUUAGCUAGUAGGUGAGGUAACGGCUCACCUAGGCGACGAUACAUAGCCGACCUGCGCGGGUGAUCGGCCACACUGGGACUGAGACACGGCCCAGACUCCUACGGGAGGCAGCAGUAGGGAAUCUUCGGCAAUGGGGGCAACCCUGACCGAGCAACGCCGCGUGAGUGAAGAAGGUUUUCGGAUCGUAAAGCUCUGUUGUAAGUCAAGAACGAGUGUGAGAGUGGAAAGUUCACACUGUGACGGUAGCUUACCAGAAAGGGACGGCUAACUACGUG
rnacentral:rRNA from 1 species